rnacentral:rRNA from 1 species
UUUCGGUGCGGGCUGGGAGACCGGUACCAAAUCGAGACAAACUCAGAAUACCCAGAGCACACAUUGCCAGUGAGACAGUGGGGGAUAAGCUUCAUUGUCAAGAGGGAAACAGCCCAGACCACCAGCUAAGGUCCCCAAAUCAUUGCUAAGUGAUAAAGGAGGUGAGAGUGCAUAGACAACUAGGAGGUUUGCCUAGAAGCAGCCACCCUUGAAAGAGUGCGUAAUAGCUCACUAGUCAAGCGCUCUCGCGCCGAAAAUGAACGGGGCUAAGCAAUGUACCGAAGCUGUGGGAUUAAUUAAUUAAUCGGUAGGGGAGCGUUCCGUGGUAGGGAGAAGCAGUAGCGGCAAGCAGCUGUGGACGAAACGGAAGUGAGAAUGUCGGCUUGAGUAGCGCAAACAUUGGUGAGAAUCCAAUGCCCCGAAACCCUAAGGGUUCCAGAGCCAGGUUCGUCCACUCUGGGUUAGUCGGGACCUAAGGCGAGGUCGAAAGGCGUAGUCGAUGGACACAGGGUUAGUAAUCCCUGACUAAGAUAUGGGAGCAUUGCUAGGGACGCAUGAAAGAAAGCUACACCCUGAUUGGUUUGGGAGGAGUUUACGAACUCCGAGUAGUGAAGGAUAGUGCCAAGAAAAGCUAGUAAUGUGAUGAACAUAUGUUACCCGUACCCGAAACCGACACAGGUAGGGAGGUUGAGAAUACCAAGGGGCGCGAGAUAACUCUCUCUAAGGAACUCGGCAAAAUGGCCCCGUAACU